CCCUUAGAUGUUCUGGGCCGCACGCGCGCUACACUGACGAAUGCAACGAGCUUAUAACCUUGGCCGAAAGGUCUGGGUAAUCUCCAAAUUUCGUCGUGAUGGGGAUAGAUUAUUGCAAUUAUUAAUCUUCAACGAGGAAUGCCUAGUAAGCGCAGGUCAUCAGCUUGCGUUGAUUACGUCCCUGCCCUUUGUACACACCGCCCGUCGCUCCUACCGAUUGAAUGGUCCGGUGAAGCGUUCGGACCGUGGCCUUUGGACGGUUCGCCGUCUGUUGGCUGCGGGAAGUUCGUUAAACCUUAUCAUUUAGAGGAAGGAGAANUCGUANCA
rnacentral:rRNA from 1 species